rnacentral:rRNA from 1 species
UACGGGGGGGCAAGCGUUGUUCGGAAUUACUGGGCGUAAAGGGCGUCGUAGGCGGCCAACUAAGUCGGACGUGAAAUCCCUCAGCUUAACUGGGGAACUGCGUCCGAUACUGGAUGGCUUGGAUUUGGGAGAGGGAUGCGGAAUUCCAGGUGUAGCGGUGAAAUGCGUAGAUAUCUGGAGGAACACCGGUGGCGAAAGGCGGCAUCC